AACCUAGCACACCUGCGGUGUGUACCUGCGGAGGGAUCAUUACCGAGUGUGGUCCCAUAUAAGGGGCGCCUCCCGUCCUUUGCAGGGCCUUUAGGGGCUUUUUGACUUUGCUUCGGCGGGCUUGCCCCGCCGGAACUCCCUCAAGAAAAUCUUUAUGAACCGUUUGUCUGAGUUGCUUGCGAAUAAAAACAAAACUUUUAACAAUGGAUCU
rnacentral:misc_RNA from 1 species